rnacentral:rRNA from 1 species
GACGAACCGUGCGAACGUUGUUCGGAAUCACUGGGCUUAAAGGGCGCGUAGGCGGGCCACCAAGUCAGGGGUGAAAUCCUGCGGCUCAACCGUAGAAGUGCCUUUGAUACUGGCGGCCUGGAGGGAGGUAGGGGCGUGCGGAACUUCCGGUGGAGCGGUGAAAUGCGUAGAUAUCGGAAGGAACACCAGUGGCGAAAGCGGCGCGCUGGACCUCUUCUGACGCUGAGGCGCGGAAAAGCCAGGGGAGGCGAACGGG